CGGGAAUGGUGAACAAAGGGCUACACACACAAUCAUAAAACACAUAUCCCAGCCUAAUUACCAGAUUCUCAAUUUCACUUUUCACCUUUUACUGUUACCCACUUCCAAUUUUACUUACCCUAAACCCUAUCUUCACCACACCCAAUACACCGCUGCAGCCACCGUGAACCCUUAUCGCCGCCUCCACUGUGAUGCCGGCACGAAGCAGUCCUCCCGCCGUCCUUGUGCCACACGUUUAGAGUCGCCGUCACGCGGGCGAACAUCCGCCCCCUGCUUCGACGGUGUGCCGAUGCGACUUCUCUCCACGAUUGCACGCUUCUCUUUUCCCUAGAGUUGAGAAACUGAAGCAUGGAUUUGGCAUGAAAGUACCUAGACCAGCUGCAUAAUUAAAUGUAGAAACAAAUACUGUUGCAGGUUUGGGAAGAUGAAUUUUGUGCCUUCCUUGUGAAUACUCAGCAACGUUAUUUGGUAUCAGAUCAUUCAACUAGUCUGGAAAUGCUUAUAAGAUUACAUAUUUAUGUUUGUUAGAAAAACUGCAUGAGGAAUUCUAAGAUUGAUAAUGUCAAGAAGUUUUAGGAGUAGUUCUUUAUUGAGCAGCAAGGCUUGCAUCUAGUGUAGAAUUUGAUGUGUAAAAAUUUAAUUUAUUCCUUUGAGUUUACAAUAGUAAAUUUGUAGUGAUAACCAUGAAAAUUAUAUUUUAAUAUGAUCUUAGAAUUUUUGAAAGAUUAUUGUGAAUUAUUUUAUCUUAAGUGCAUGCAUUCGUGUCAUAUGUUUUUAAAGUGUCAUGUGAAGUGCAGUGUUAGAGGAGACAUAACACAUUACCCCUUUGUUGUAACUUGUAAUGUACAUUAUAAGCUAGUUAUAGAUGUAGGAGUUGAUGUGAAUUUUUCUUUUCUUCCUUAAGUAUGAUUCAAACACACGAGUUCAAACAGAAAGAGCUGAGGUUAGUACUUAGUGGUCCUAUAAUCAAAUUAUAUAGUAUUCAGUUCAAUAUUUAAUUAAUUACUCUAAUUAUUAUGGCAUAAUCAUUGAAAAUAAUGAGACUUAGUGGGACCAAGAGUAAGGUGGUAUUGCAGGAUGCAGAAUUUCUAAGAGCCAAUGGUUGGUGAAUCAGAGAAGGAGUUGGAGGAGUUCAGUGAUGAUGUAUGCUUGAUGAAACUGCUGAAAGAUAAAAUGAAGAGGGUGAACUCUGCAUUUGAAGGGCACUCGCAUACAACAAAGUUGGAAUUUGAAAGACUGAGCAAAGUGAAGGCUAAAUUGAAUAAUUUGAGGCAAAAAUUAAUUGCAAUUCUAAAUUACUGGACAAAUGCUUCUAAUGCAUCCCAUUCUAAUGAACCAUCUAUUAUGUAUGUGUCUACUGCUGCGUUAAGGGAAAACGUUGCAUAGUACUUUUUUUUGUUUCUCUUUUAAUUUUUUUUGUUUACUUCACACAG